rnacentral:lncRNA from 1 species
AUAUCGGAUGCUUUUAUAUUCGAAUGAAUCUAUACUUAUUUUCUCCCUAUCUCUUCUCCAACAAAUUUGAAUCCCGAAGACCUGAUAGCAUAUCUAAAACGCCCCACCUGACAAAGUCUUUGAUCCGCCAGAAAUGUUUCUACCGCAUAACAGUUGGAAUCAACUUACACUGAAUAUCGUCCCACUUCAAAAAAGAAGAAGAAAAGAAAAAAAAAGAAACAAGAAGGUCUCAUUUUCGCGGUAGGAUUGGCUUCUCGGAGGUGGGGAGCCAACAAGAGACCCUUCUCUGCAAUCGCUUCUAUUUUCCGUAUUAGGAAAUUCUCAGAGAGUCCUGUCACGUACCGCCGUGUGGGCAGUAUCUUUUUUCUGCAAAAGGAUUCGUGAUCCUAGAAGGACCAGAACAUUUUUCGAUUCCAUUCCAUAAUGUCUCUUCAUCAGGGAUUGCUAAUAAUUAUGUUUUUGACACCAUUUUCUUGGAAGUGUCUUUUCUAUCUCAUCUCCGCAUCAAUGCCUAUGCAUUUGUGUAUGCCUGUGCCUACCCCUCAUGCGGAGAUCAAAUAGUAGGAGUACUGUCUAUGAGGGCUGGGACAGUCAGCUUUGACAAAGAAUAAUGUGGCCUAAUAUUGGGGGUAGUUUACAACAACAAGUUGAUUCUGAUGCAGCUCAUUAUUUUCUUGAACUACCUUAACUAUGGGUCGUCUACGGAGCAGUGUCGGAAAAUCCAGGAACGAUAGAUUCGCGCCUUAAAUCUAAGGCAAACAUGAACUGGAUUUCAGUCCUUAUCUUUUAUCUGAUCAUGGAUUGAAUCUCAGAUCAUUCAAGGCUCUUUGUUGAUUUCAAUCUCUUCCGUAUUUGUCAAGCGAGCUCGUUUCCUAACGAUCCGUCAUGCUCAUUGCCCAAUUUGUACACAUAGCCGAGAUAUUCCCAACUCUCCACCGCAGUGAAACAUUACAUGACAUUGUCGAGAAACAUGAAGCUAAUCCGGUUUAGUCAAGUGCCUCAUACGUUGACAACGUGGAAAUUGCCUGACCGCAGACGUCAGACGGCUGCGACAGCCCUAGCUUAGUAAGCAGUAACGCUUUCCUCCGGUCACACGAAUCAUGAGCCUUAAAUGUCAUGCUAUGUAUUCGUAAUACCGUGUACAAAAAUGACAAUACCUUAGUGUCCCUUUAACUUAGUCUCUGAUUGGCGGUUCUGCACUUGAAACUAGGACUACACGUGGCUUGCGGCACAGUUGCCUUGUAUGAACCAGUAAUUUUUGCUCUU